CGGGGUAAUCAAUACUGUCAGUGCCAUUGGAUCACCCUCUCGUCAAACUGUCAAACUACUCAAGCCUCUUCUCUUUGCACUCCGAAAGGACGCAGCAAGAAAAUGGAGAUGGAAGUAAGAGCAGUUGCAGGAUUGGAAGGAUGUUACGUUUCACUACCACUUCAUCUGAUUCAAACUCUUCAAUCAACUUCUUCUUCUGGUUCUCUGUUUUCAUUUCUAGCUCUCGAGCUUCGUUCAAUCGCAAACAAUAAUGAUGUCUGGUACGUUGCUUGGUCUGGUUCGGCAUCCUCUAGUUCUUCUGCCAUCGAGAUUGCUCAGCAAUUUGCAGAAUGCCUUCAUCUACCAGAUCAUACAACUGUUCGAGUGAGAGCAAUUCCUAGUCUUCCCAAAGCCAGAAGUGUGACUAUUGAACCUGAUACAGAGGAUGAUUGGGAAGUUCUAGAGCUAAAUGCAGAGCAUGCAGAGGCAGCCAUCUUGAAGCAGGCUGGAAUAGUCCAUGAAGGCAUGAGAUUUCCUUUGUGGUUGCAUGGGCACACAACCAUUACAUUUUCUGUAGUCUCAACUGAUCCAGAGGAACCAAUGGUGCAACUUGUGCCAGGGACUGAAGUAUGUGUUGCUCCAAAGAGACGCAGAAAAUCUGAAAACUCAGUUGUAAAGGCAUUACUGCGUAUCCAAGAUGGUGACAGUAGAUUUUUUCAUAAACUUCGGGUGAAGGAUACUGAGAUGGGGGUGGUUCUUACUUCUGCUGUCUUUAUUCAUCCAGAAACAGCUAAAGUUUCUUCCCUUGAUUCUCUUCAAACUAUAGUGUUAGAGCAAAGGUUAGUUAAGAAGGAGAAGAAACUAAAUUCAACUGCAAAGGAAGUUGACAAUGUGAUUCCAACUGACAAGCUGGAUGCCAGACAGGCUGUUGUUCGUCUUAUAAUAUCAGAUUCAGUGGCUAAAGGACAUGUCAUGCUUUCUCAAUCUUUACGAUUUUAUCUGAGAGCAGGCUUACAUUCUUGGGUACAUGUGAGAAGUUGCAAUAUCGUUCUACAAAAAGAUCCUCUGUCAUUUGUUAUUUCUCCUUGUCAAUUUAAGAUGUUUGGAAAGAAAGUCUCUGAAAGUAAUGGUUUUGGAAAUCUUCAUGGACACAGGAAUCAUCACACAGAGAAAAUGUUUCUGAAGACAAAUCCAGAUACCCAACAUGACUUGUCUGAUUGGUCAACCCAUGAGAAGGUUAUUGCAGCCCUUUCAGAUGAUACAUCUGGUCAUCAGAAUGAAGGAACUUCUGUUAGCCCCACAAGUAAUAAAGGGUUAUUGGUUCUUCUGCAUGCAUGGAUUUUGUCUCAACUUGAUGCCAUUAUGUCUUUUUCCAAAACUGAACUAAAUUCAAUGGUUUUGGGGAAUAAGAUGUUGCUUCACUUUCAGGUGAAAGGCAAUGAUUUACAAAAACUACAUGAAUCACAUAAUGGUUUUUUUGAAGUAAAAAAGAAAACUGGGGAAUCAUCAGUUGAUAUCAUGUAUGUUCUCUCGGUUUCUGAAGAUUCUAUCCAAGGUGGAACAGCUUAUGAGCUUGAGUUUUCUGAAGGAAACAAGAAGACCAUGAAUAAGAAAAGCUUAGAUUUCUUUCUUCAGAAAUUGGAAAAGGGUGAUGGUUUACCUCUUCAUACAGUCAAAGAAAGAAUAUCUAACAAGCGAUCUACCUUGGACAUUUCUUCCUUGAGCUGGAUGGGCACAACAGCUGCUGAUGUGACUAAUAGGUUAAUGGUGUUACUGUCACCUUCCUCUGGGAUAUUCUUAAGUACUUACAAUCUUCCUUUCCCUGGACAUGUGUUGAUUUAUGGACCUCCAGGUUCUGGGAAGACAUUAUUAGCCACAACUGUUGCAAAAACUAUUGAAGAACAUGAAGAUGUCUUGGCACACAUAGUGUAUGUAGGUUGUUCUAAACUUGCUUCGAGUAAGUCCCAAGCUAUCCAUCAAGCCCUAUCCAGUUACAUAUCUGAAGCCUUGGAUCAUGCUCCUUCCCUUGUGGUACUUGAUGAUCUUGAUAGCAUUAUAGCAUCACCCAAUGCCUCAGAAGACAAUCACUCUUCACCUUCUUCUACUUUGCUCAUGGAAUUUCUCAUAGGCAUCUUGGAUGAAUAUGAGGUAAAGAGGAAGCAUUCAUGUGGAAUUGGUCCCAUUGCAUUCAUAGCUUGUGUUCAGACCCUAACCAGUAUUCCACAAACCUUAAGUUCCUCUGGCAGGUUUGACUUUCAUGUCCAACUGGCUGCUCCUGCAGCUGCUGAACGUGGGGCUUUACUUAAAUAUGAGAUUCAAAAACGUUGUUUGUCCUGUUCUGAUGAUGUUUUGUUGGAUAUAGCUUCCUCAUGUGAUGGAUAUGAUGCGUAUGAUCUGGAAAUCCUGGUGGAUAGGUCAGUUCAUGCUGCAAUUGGUCGGUUUGUGUCUCGUGGGUUGACUUUUGGGAGCGAGAAAAACCCUAAUUUGACUAAGGAUGAUUUUUUGCAAGCGAUGAAAGGAUUUCUGCCUAUUGCUAUGCGUGAUAUUACUAAAUCUGCUUCUGAAGAAGGACAUGGAGGCUGGCAGGAUGUUGGUGGUCUAAUUGAAAUUCGCAAUUCUAUCAAAGAGAUGAUUGAAUUACCUUCAAAGUUUCCAAUGAUCUUUUCACAAGCUCCUUUACGGUUGAGGUCUAAUGUUCUGUUAUAUGGGCCCCCGGGUUGUGGUAAAACACAUAUUGUUGGUGCUGCUGCUGCUGCAUGUUCACUACGCUUCAUCUCUGUCAAAGGUCCCGAGCUCUUGAAUAAAUACAUUGGUGCUUCUGAGCAAGCCGUACGUGAUAUAUUUUCAAAAGCAGCAGCUGCAGCACCAUGCCUCCUCUUUUUUGAUGAAUUUGACUCCAUUGCUCCAAAAAGGGGUCACGAUAACACUGGUGUGACCGAUCGAGUUGUUAAUCAAUUUCUAACAGAGUUAGAUGGUGUUGAGGUGCUGACUGGAGUAUUUGUUUUUGCUGCCACCAGUAGACCUGAUCUACUGGAUGCUGCCCUGCUGCGACCUGGAAGAUUAGAUCGUCUGCUUUUCUGUGAUUUCCCAUCACCACAAGAGAGAUUGGAUAUUCUUAAAGUUCUUUCUAAAAAGUUACCGAUGGCGAAUGACGUGAAGUUGGAAGGCAUAGCACGAAAAACACAAGGAUUUAGUGGAGCAGAUCUCCAAGCUCUGUUAUCAGAUGCACAGCUGGCAGCUGUUCAUGAUCUUCUCAACAGUGAAGACGCUCACAAGCCUGGAAAUAAACCGGUGAUCACCAAUGCACUCUUGAACUCGAUUGCCUCCAGUGCAAGACCUUCAGUUUCAGAAACAGAAAAACACAGAUUAUACGACAUUUAUGGCCAGUUCUUGGAUGCUAAACGAUCUGCUUCUGCACAGUCGAGAGAUGCCAAAGGGAAAAGAGCAACACUUGCAUAAUGAAUCGGUUGCUUUGCUUUACAACUUCAUAUAUGUGUAUCAGUGUACAGAAAGGUAAUCAUAACUAUCGUGAGAGGCGUUGGGUUUUAUAAUUUUAAAUCUGCAUUGUGUAUGUUAUUAGUAAAAUGAGGUAAAGCUUAUUCCAAUGUAGACUUGAACCUGUUUAAACUGAUGGUAAAAUUGUAUGGGGUUUGGCGUUGCAAAUCAGCGGGGGACUUGAUCCUAAUGGAAUUUAUAAAA